AGAGUUUGAUCAUGGCUCAGAACGAACGCUGGCGGCGUGGAUAAGACAUGCAAGUCGGACGAGAUUUUUCGUUGUAGCAAUACGAUGGAAAAUUUAGUGGCGAACGGGUGCUUAACACGUGGGCAACCUGCCAGGAAGUGGGGGAUAGCUCGCCGAAAGGCGAAUUAAUACCGCAUGUGAUUAGAGAGGACAUCCUUUCAAAAUUAAAGUCGGGGCAACCUGACGCUUCUUGUGGGGCCCGCGGCCUAUCAGCUAGUUGGUGGGGUAACGGCUCACCAAGGCUUUGACGGGUAGCUGGUCUGAGAGGACGACCAGCCACACUGGGACUGAGACACGGCCCAGACACCUACGGGUGGCAGCAGUCGAGAAUUUUUGACAAUGGGGGAAACCCUGAUCGAGCGACGCCGCGUGGAGGAUGAAGGUCUUCGGAUUGUAAACUUCUGUCAUUGGGGAACAAGGUGCAUACGUUAACUGCGUGUGCAUUGAUAGUACCCGAAGAGGAAGAGACGGCUAACUCUGUGCCAGCAGCCGCGGUAAUACAGAGGUCUCAAGCGUUGUUCGGAUUCAUUGGGCGUAAAGGGUGCGUAGGCGGCGCGGUAAGUCGGGUGUGAAAUCUCGGAGCUUAACUCCGAAACUGCAUUCGAUACUGCCGUGCUUGAGGACUGGAGAGGAGACUGGAAUUUACGGUGUAGCGGUGAAAUGCGUAGAUAUCGUAAGGAAGACCAGUGGCGAAGGCGGGUCUCUGGACAGUUCCUGACGCUGAGGCACGAAGGUCAGGGGAGCAAACGGGAUUAGAUACCCUAGUAGUCC
rnacentral:rRNA from 1 species